AUACUACCUUCAACGAUGCCGUUUAUGUAGUUUUAGAGGCAAUCUCCCCUUCCUUCUUUAGCGCCUGACUCUGUGUUCUUUUUUUUCCCUUUUCUCUUUUAUCAAGCUUGUUUUCAAAUCAUUCCCUCUCCUCUUCCCUUUUCAGAUUUGUUUAUGAUAAUUUUGCAGCAAUUAAUCACCCCAAGGAGUAAUGAAGAGGUGAGUUUUGGAAAUAGUGAUGAUGCGAAGAUGAUGGAUAUUGAGGAAGUAGAAGUUGUGGAUGGCCAGGCAUGUUUUAGUAUGCAAAGAAGUAAUAGUGGUCAAGAAAAUUACACUUGAGAAACUGAACAUUUCUAUUUUUGUAAUAUCUAGAAGGAAAUAUGUGGUAAGAGAGCAUUACCGGGUGUUGUUAAUACUUUGUAAUAUUUUGUGUAAGUAUUUGAACAUGUAUUGUCUUAAUUAUGAACAUUGUGUGUCAUGUUUUGAACAUUUCACUUCAAUUUGUGUUUUAGUACAUUUUAGGGUGGAUUUGGAUCUCAAUCUAAGAAAAAGAAAGUAAUAUAUUCGA